rnacentral:rRNA from 1 species
UAGGGAAUUUUCGUCAAUGGGGGGAACCCUGAACGAGCAAUGCCGCGUGAGUGAGGAAGGUCUUCGGAUCGUAAAGCUCUGUUGUAAGAGAAAAACGACAUUCAUAGGGAAUGAUGAGUGAGUGAUGGUAUCUUACCAGAAAGUCACGGCUAACUACGUGCCAGCAGCCGCGGUAAUACGUAGGUGGCGAGCGUUAUCCGGAAUGAUUGGGCGUAAAGGGUGCGUAGGUGGCAGAACAAGUCUGGAGUAAAAGGUAUGGGCUCAACCCGUACUGGCUCUGGAAACUGUUCAGCUAGAGAACAGAAGAGGACGGCGGAACUCCAUGUGUAGCGGUAAAAUGCGUAGAUAUAUGGAAGAACACCGGUGGCGAAGGCGGCCGUCUGGUCUGUUGCUGACACUGAAGCACGAAAGCGUGGGGAGCAAAUAGGAUUAGAUACCCUAGUAGUCCACGCCGUAAACGAUGAGAACUAGGUGUUGGGGGAAUAACUCAGUGCCGCAGUUAACGCAAUAAGUUCUCCGCCUGGGGAGUAUGCACGCAAGUGUGAAACUCAAAGGAAUUGACGGGGGCCCGCACAAGCGGUGGAGUAUGUGGUUUAAUUCGAAGCAACGCGAAGAACCUUACCAGGCCUUGACAUCCCUUGCAGAGGUAUAGAGAUAUAUCCGAGGUUAUCAAGGAGACAGGUGGUGCAUGGUUGUCGUCAGCUCGUGUCGUGAGAUGUUGGGUUAAGUCCCGCAACGAGCGCAACCCUUGUGAUAUGUUACUAACAUUGAGUUGAGGACUCAUAUCAGACUGCCGGUGAUAAACCGGAGGAAGGUGGGGAUGACGUCAAAUCAUCAUGCCCCUUAUGGCCUGGGCUACACACGUACUACAAUGGCGUCUACAAAGAGCGGCAAGCCUGUGAAGGCAAGCGAAUCUCAUAAAGGACGUCUCAGUUCGGAUUGAAGUCUGCAACCCGACUUCAUGAAGCUGGAAUCGCUAGUAAUCGCGAAUCAGCAUGUCGCGGUGAAUACGUUCUC